rnacentral:rRNA from 1 species
AUAGCAUGUCAGAAGGCAGACCCGGAGAACUGAAACAUCUUAGUACCCGGAGGAAGAGAAAGAAAAAUCGAUUCCCUGAGUAGCGGCGAGCGAAACGGGAAGAGCCCAAACCAACAAGCUUGCUUGUUGGGGUUGUAGGACACUCUAUACGGAGUUACAAAAGAACAUGUUAGACGAAUCAUCUGGAAAGAUGAAUCAAAGAAGGUAAUAAUCCUGUAGUCGAAAACAU